rnacentral:ribozyme from 1 species
AUUGCAUCUCCAACACUGCAUCCCACUUCUUAUCCAACAAAACGUCCAAUAUUGCCUCCGACACCUGCACCAACACUUCAUCCAACAUUCUACCCAAGUAGUCAUCCGAUUCCUCAUCCAACACCUCAACCUAGU